UACAGAGGCCCCGAGCAUUAUCCGGAUUUACUGGGCGUAAAGGGUGUGUAGGUGGCAUUGUUAGUCUCUCGUUAAAACCCGAAGCUUAACUUCGGAAUCGCGAGGGAAACGGCAACGCUCGAGGAUGCGAGAGGUAUGCGGAACUCAAGGUGUAGGGGUGAAAUCCGUUGAUAUCUUGGGGAACACCAAAUGCGAAGGCAGCAUACUGGCGCACUCCUGACACUGAAACACGAAAGCGUGGGCAGCGAACGGG
rnacentral:rRNA from 1 species